CAAUAGCGUAUAUUAAAGCUGUUGCGGUUAAAAAGCUCGUAGUUGGAUUUCUGUCAAGGACAACUGGUCCGCCCCUCGGGUGAGCACAUAGUUUGGUCUUGGCAUCUUGUUGGAAACUGUUGCUGCACUUGGUUGUGUGGCGCAGUGUCCAGCACUUUCACUUUGAGGAAAUUGGAGUGUUUCAAGCAGGCACAUGCCUUUGGACACAGUAGCAUGGAAUAAUUAGAUUGGGCUUUUGCCCCAACUUGUCGGUUUCUGGAGCUGAGGUGAGAAUUAAUGGGGAUUGUUGGGGGCAUCCGAAUUUAGCCGUCAGAGGUGAAAUUCUUGGAUCUGCUAAAGACGGACAACUGCGAAAGCGUUUGCCCAGGAUGUUUUCAUUGA
rnacentral:rRNA from 1 species